UUGACCUCAAAUCAGGUAGGACUACCCGCUGAACUUAAGCAUAUCAAUAAGCGGAGGAAAAGAAACUAACAAGGAUUCCCCUAGUAACUGCGAGUGAAGCGGGAAAAGCUCAAAUUUGAAAUCUGGCGGUUCUUGAACCGUCCGAGUUGUAAUCUAGAGAAGUGUUACCUGUGCUGGACCGUGUACAAGUCUCCUGGAAUGGAGCAUCAUAG
rnacentral:rRNA from 1 species